rnacentral:rRNA from 1 species
UACGUAGGGUGCAAGCGUUUGUUCGGAUUUACUGGGCGUAAAGGGCGCGUAGGCGGUCGUGACAAGUCACUUGUGAAAUCUCCGGGCUUAACUCGGAACGGUCAAGUGAUACUGUCGGACUAGAGUACAGAAGGGGCAACUGGAAUUCUCGGUGUAGCGGUGAAAUGCGUAGAUAUCGAGAGGAACACCUGCGGCGAAGGCGGGUUGCUGGGCUGAUACUGACGCUGAGGCGCGAAAGCCCAGGGGAGCGAACGGG